GCCCUUAUAGCUCAGUGGUAGAGCGCGUCACUAGUACUGAACCAAUUGGUCACGUGCCAUGACGAGGUCGUAGGUUCGACUCCUGCUGAGGGCA